rnacentral:rRNA from 1 species
AGUUAAAAAGCUCGUAGUUGGAUUUCGGUUGGAAGCGGCCGGUCCGCCGUUCGGUGUGCACUGGCUGGUUUCAACUUCCUGCCGAGGACGCGCUCCUGGGUUUAACGAUCUGGGACGCGGAGUCGGCGUGGUUACUUUGAAAAAAUUAGAGUGUUCAAAGCGGGCUUACGCUUGAAUAUAUUAGCAUGGAAUAACACUAUAGGACUCCUGUCCUAUUUCGUUGGUCUCGGGACGGGAGUAAUGAUUAAGAGGAACAGUUGGGGGCAUUCGUAUUUCAUUGUCAGAGGUGAAAUUCUUGGAUUUAUGAAAGACGAACUUCUGCGAAAGCAUUUGCCAAGGAUGUUUUCAUUAAUCAAGAACGAAAGUUGGGGGCUCGAAGAUGAUUAGAUACCAUCCUAGUCUCAACCAUAAACGAUGCCGACCCAGGAUUGGUGAACGUUGAUUUAAUGACUUCAUCAGCACUGUAUGAGAAAUCAAAGUCUUUGGGUUCCGGGGGGAGUAUGGUCGCAAGGCUGAAACUUAAAGGAAUUGACGGAAGGGCACCACCAGGAGUGGAGCCUGCGGCUUAAUUUGACUCAACACGGGAAAACUUACCAGGUCCGGACAUAGUAAGGAUUGACAGAUUGAUAGCUCUUUCUUGAUCCUAUGGGGUGGUGGUGCAU